rnacentral:pre_miRNA from 1 species
UCGGUUAUCAUGGUACCGCUGCUGUGUCCCUCUCAAGUACAGUACUAUGAUAACUGAAG